UAUUAUAUAAUCUCUGCUUUCUCUGAAAGAAAAACAAACAGCUUUCCAACCUGACUGAUUACAGAAGGCAGCUUGAAAAGGAGAUCUAAAACCUUAAAUAUCAGAAGGUCAUUCGGAGAAUCACAAAAUAUCCAGAGUUGGAAGAGUUCAUCAAGUCCAAAUCCUAAUGACACGAUCUCUUCAAAAGUUAUGUAACAUUAUCAGCAGAGGAGGAUCACCAGGUGGGAAAUUAUAACAAGGAAGGUGAAAUGUACUGCAUUAAGUCUGACAGCAGCAGGCCUGAGAGCUGAACCUCUAAGCCUCAUCUCACUAGCUCUUGUCCUAUUAGACCUUUGUACUGUGAAAAGAUGUGGUUACUUCAAGGAGUGUGGUGAGAGGAAGUGAAAAUUUGAAUGGCAGAUCUAGAAACCAUGUAAAGGGUCCCCCCCUUAACAUAAGAGGAAACAUCAGGAGAAGUGAUUACCUGGGCUGUACCAUAAACAUGGCACUGUGUCCCAUGUCCCACACUCUUUGGAGAAAUUCUUGACUGACAGCAGCCACUGUGGUUAAUUAUAACUGUGGAUCUAGUCUGUUGCUAACAUCCUUAGUGAGAGAUUUCAUAAAUUAGUCCAACCUUCAAGUCAGCUCUACGCUUCUGGAAAAUUUUUUUGGUUUACCAUUUCUCUGAAGUAGCUUUACCUGUUCAAGUGUCUCACACAGCUUUUGUCCUCCAGCAUCAUUAGACUCUCCUUGCUAGUAAGCAGCUGUAUUAAAGUGUCUUGGCUGAACCGUGCACUGUUAGCCAGGAGCUGAGCCUCCCACACCACGUAUGCUAGUCUAGAGUCACAGCUAGAGGAGGAGUUAUCUGAAGUCAGAAGGUGACUCUUUGGAAGGAGGUGCUGACCAUCAUUUCCCAAAAAUGGGACAUAGGUAUUAUGGAUGUUUCACCAGCUCCUCAUAUGAUUAAUGUUUCAUUAUCCGCUCUUGACUCCUGCUGGAGACACUAUAUCUCCUAUUAGUCUUAUUCUUCUAUUCUCUUAGCUGGUCUUCUUCCUUUAUUUAAUCACCUUAGGCCUGUUUUCAAUGGAAAUUCUAAAUGAAUGAAAGAAUAAGUGUGAAAAAAGGCUAAGAGUUCAGAACACCUGAGAAAAGGCUCACCUGAAGUAAAUGGUGAAAGGAAGCAGAACUGUGCCAUAGUGCUCAUGUAUCUGAGACUGGUCAGAAAAGAAACGAAGGGUGGAAGAUGGGCUAACUGGGGAGGCAACUGACAAAGCAUUCAAAUUUGUAUGGUUACAUUUGGGAAGGACAUUUGCAGAAAAGACAAGUGUAAGUGCAAAAACCAGGGGUUGACUUCCUUUUCCAGCAAUCUAGCUUUUCCUCUCCUAGCAUAGCUUACACAGUCUGGGAAGAUACUACUUUUCACUGCUUUUAAAAUACAUCCAAUCAUUCUUAUCGGUUGUACUUGACAGCCACUCCUGACCUACUUGGCAUGAGCUUUGUGAGGUCAGUUCCUUUGUGUGGCAAGCCUGUGAGCAGCAGUGCAGAUGGUUUUUAAGCAGGCUCAAUUGGUGGCAGGACUAUGCCCAGACACCUAGCAGGUGACCUGUUCCUGCAUCUUGAGGGCUGGGCUACCUCAGCUCCCUGCCACCAUAAGGCAAGGUGAUUUUCCUUGCAUGUAGAAGCUCUCUGGCUCUUAAAUAAUGCGCGACUGAUUCUAAAUGCCUUUCAAAUUCUGCCCUAUACUGUGUAUGCAUGCAGGUGAAGCUGUGCAUUUUUUAUACACUACAUCGGUGUGUACAACCAUUUACAAAUGUCAUUCAUAUAUGUGUGUGGGUAGGAUACAUGGCAGAUGUACAGUGGCAGUGAGCCACUAGAUGGGGCUGCAGGAGGAAAAAGAUAAAA